GACGAACGCUGGCGGCGUGCUUAACACAUGCAAGUCGAACGGAAAGGCUCCAGCUUGCUGGAGUACUCGAGUGGCGAACGGGUGGGUAACACGUGGGUAAUCUGCCCUGCACUCUGGGAUAAGCCUGGGAAACUGGGUCUAAUACUGGAUAUGACCUUUCUCCUUAUGGGGUUUGGUGGAAAGUUUUUCGGUGUAGGAUGAGCCCGCGGCCUAUCAGCUUGUUGGUGGGGUGAUGGCCUACCAAGGCGACGACGGGUAGCCGGCCUGAGAGGGUGAUCGGCCACAUUGGGACUGAGAUACGGCCCAGGCUCCUACGGGAGGCAGCAGAGGGGAAUAUUGCACAAUGGGCGGAAGCCUGAUGCAGCGACGCCGCGUGAGGGAUGACGGCCUUCGGGUUGUAAACCUCUUUCAGCAGGGACGAAGCGUAAGUGACGGUACCUGCAGAAGAAGCACCGGCUAACUACGUG
rnacentral:rRNA from 1 species